CUUAACACAUGCAAGUCGAACGAACUCUGGUAUUGAUUGGUGCUUGCAUCAUGAUUUACAUUUGAGUGAGUGGCGAACUGGUGAGUAACACGUGGGAAACCUGCCCAGAAGCGGGGGAUAACACCUGGAAACAGAUGCUAAUACCGCAUAACAACUUGGACCGCAUGGUCCGAGUUUGAAAGAUGGCUUCGGCUAUCACUUUUGGAUGGUCCCGCGGCGUAUUAGCUAGAUGGUGGGGUAACGGCUCACCAUGGCAAUGAUACGUAGCCGACCUGAGAGGGUAAUCGGCCACAUUGGGACUGAGACACGGCCCAAACUCCUACGGGAGGCAGCAGUAGGGAAUCUUCCACAAUGGACGAAAGUCUGAUGGAGCAACGCCGCGUGAGUGAAGAAGGGUUUCGGCUCGUAAAACUCUGUUGUUAAAGAAGAACAUAUCUGAGAGUAACUGUUCAGGUAUUGACGGUAUU
rnacentral:rRNA from 2 species